rnacentral:lncRNA from 1 species
CCCGGUGUUGUCUCAGCAGGGUUACGACAGGGGAGAGGCAAGUUUACAGCAUGAAUCUCCAGGGCAGCUUUUUCCGCCCUUUCUGACCCAGGUGUCUACAAGCCCCUGGAAUGAACAACCCAGUUACCCUUCUGUGGAGGAAAUGGCUGUGAGAACUGGAGAAGGGCACGGCUGUGGGAACGGGACGUAAAGUCAGAGCCAGGAGGAGAGUCACUGUCUAAGGUCACAGAGCCAGCUCAGAGUGCUCCGCUGCUCCUGGGGUUGCAGAGGGGCUACAGAGGGGCUGCAGAGGGUAUGAGCCAAGAAGGAGGCUUAUGGGACCACCUCAUACACAUUAAGAUGGCUACUAUCAAAAAAACAACAACCAGAAAAUGACAAGUGUUGGCAGGAUGUGGAGACAUUGGAAGCUGGUGCUUUGCUGGUGGGAAAGUAGAAGUUGCAGCAGCUAUGGAAAAUGCUCCAACGGUCCCUCAAAAGGUAAUGGAAUUGUCACAUGACCCA